UGCAGUCGAACGGUAUCACAGAGAGCUUGCUCUCGGGUGACGAGUGGCGGACGGGUGAGUAAUGUCUGGGAAACUGCCUGAUGGAGGGGGAUAACUACUGGAAACGGUAGCUAAUACCGCAUAACGUCGCAAGACCAAAGAGGGGGACCUUCGGGCCUCUUGCCAUCAGAUGUGCCCAGAUGGGAUUAGCUAGUAGGUGGGGUAACGGCUCACCUAGGCGACGAUCCCUAGCUGGUCUGAGAGGAUGACCAGCCACACUGGAACUGAGACACGGUCCAGACUCCUACGGGAGGCAGCAGUGGGGAAUAUUGCACAAUGGGCGCAAGCCUGAUGCAGCCAUGCCGCGUGUAUGAAGAAGGCCUUCGGGUUGUAAAGUACUUUCAGCGGGGAGGAAGGUGUUGCGGUUAAUAACCGCAGCAAUUGACGUUACCCGCAGAAGAAGCACCGGCUAACUCCGUGCCAGCAGCCGCGGUAAUACGGAGGGUGCAAGCGUUAAUCGGAAUUACUGGGCGUAAAGCGCACGCAGGCGGUCUGUCAAGUCGGAUGUGAAAUCCCCGGGCUCAACCUGGGAACUGCAUUCGAAACUGGCAGGCUAGAGUCUUGUAGAGGGGGGGUAGAAUUCCAGGUGUAGCGGUGAAAUGCGUAGAGAUCUGGAGGAAUACCGGUGGCGAAGGCGGCCCCCUGGGACAAAGACUGACGCUCAUGUGCGAAA
rnacentral:rRNA from 1 species